rnacentral:rRNA from 1 species
GACGAACGCUGGCGGCGUGCUUAACACAUGCAAGUCGAACGGAAAGGCCCUGCUUUUGUGGGGUGCUCGAGUGGCGAACGGGUGAGUAACACGUGAGUAACCUGCCCUUGACUUUGGGAUAACUUCAGGAAACUGGGGCUCAUACCGGAUAGGAGCUCCUGCUGCAUGGUGGGGGUUGGAAAGUUUCGGCGGUUGGGGAUGGACUCGCGGCUUAUCAGCUUGUUGGUGGGGUAGUGGCUUACCAAGGCUUUGACGGCUAGCCGGCCUGAGAGGGUGACCGGCCACAUUGGGACUGAGAGACGGCGCAGUCGCCUACGGGCGGCAGCAGUGGGGAAUAUUGCACAGUGGGCGGAAGCCUGAGGCAGCAACGCCGCGUGCGGGAUGACGGCCUUCGGGUUGUAAACCGCUUUCGCCUGUGACGAAGCGUGAGUGACGGUAAUGGGUAAAGAAGCACCGGCUAACUACGUG